rnacentral:rRNA from 1 species
AAUAGAUACCCCGGUAGUCCACGCCGUAAACGAUGUCAACUAGCCGUUGGAAUCCUUGAGAUUUUAGUGGCGCAGCUAACGCAUUAAGUUGACCGCCUGGGGAGUACGGCCGCAAGGUUAAAACUCAAAUGAAUUGACGGGGGCCCGCACAAGCGGUGGAACAUGUGGUUUAAUUCGAAGCAACGCGAAGAACCUUACCAGGCCUUGACAUGCAGAGAACUUUCCAGAGAUGGAUUGGUGCCUUCGGGAACUCUGACACAGGUGCUGCAUGGCUGUCGUCAGCUCGUGUCGUGAGAUGUUGGGUUAAGUCCCGUAACGAGCGCAACCCUUGUCCUUAGUUACCAGCACGUUAUGGUGGGCACUCUAAGGAGACUGCCGGUGACAAACCGGAGAAGUGGGAUGACGUCAAGUCAUCAUGGCCCUUAGGCCUGGGCUACACACGUGCUACAAUGGUCGGUACAGAGGGUUGCCAAGCCGCGAGGUGGAGCUAAUCUCACAAAACCGAUCGUAGUCCGGAUCGCAGUCUGCAAC